CUAAAACCACUCUGAGUGGAGAACAGCAUUUUAAACAACAACAUUUAUCUGAGAAAAGGAGUCAUCAGAGAGAAGAAUCUGACGACUUUAAACCUGAAACCAGCUGUGUGUCUAUGAAGAGUGAUCACUCAAAGGAUGAACUCAUUGACUUUAAAAAACAAGAACCCUCAACUGUGAAGAAGAUACAACAGAAACCAGACUCACAAGAACUAGAACGUGAACCCAGCUCUUUGAAGAGAGAUUGGUUGUUUAACUUUGAAUGGCUGUUACCUUCCUUCAUGAAAGUGAAGCAGCAUCAAACACAGCAGGACUCCAUAUUUAAGGUCUGUACAUGGAC